GGCCUAAUGGUCUAGUAGUAUGAUUCCUCCUUCGGGCAUAGCCACACCUGUAGCAGGUGACCAUUGGAGGAGGUCCUGGGUUCAAUUCCCAGUUAGGCCC